GACGAACGCUGGCGGCGUGCUUAACACAUGCAAGUCGAGCGGUAAGGCCCUUUCGGGGGUACACGAGCGGCGAACGGGUGAGUAACACGUGGGUGACCUGCCCUCAGCUCUGGGAUAAGCCUGGGAAACCGGGUCUAAUACCGGAUAUGACUCCAUGACGCAUGUUGUGGGGUGGAAAGCCUUGUGCGGCUGAGGAUGGGCCCGCGGCCUAUCAGCUUGUUGGUGGGGUGAUGGCCUACCAAGGCGACACGGGUAGCCGGCCUGAGAGGGCGACCGGCCACACUGGGACUGAGACACGGCCCAGACUCCUACGGGAGGCAGCAGUGGGGAAUCUUGCGCAAUGGGCGAAAGCCUGACGCAGCGACGCCGCGUGAGGGAUGACGGCCUGGUUGUAA
rnacentral:rRNA from 1 species